GACAUAGGUGGCGAACGUUAUCCGGAUUUAUUGGGCGUAAAGAGCGUGUAGGCGGCCAGGUAGGUCAGCUGUGAAAACUCGAGGCUCAACCUCGAGACGCCGGUUGAAACCAUCUGGCUAGAGUCCGGAAGAGGAGAGUGGAAUUCCUGGUGUAGCGGUGAAAUGCGCAGAUAUCAGGAAGAACACCCGUGGCUAAGGCGGCUCUCUAGUACGGUACUGACGCUGAGACGCGAAAGCGUGGGGAGCGAACAGG
rnacentral:rRNA from 1 species